rnacentral:lncRNA from 1 species
AACUCCAUCACAAUGGUGAAUUUAUCUACCUCCUAGUAGAUAAAAGGAAGAAAAUGCUUCAGAAGGUAACAUUCAGAUGGUGUGCGGAAUCCUUAGAUGAAAACCUGUCCCUCUCCCACAACAAAUUGACGAAGGAAAAAGGUAUCCUCAUGAUAUCAAGGCUACAAGAAGACUUCCACGAAAUAAAAAUCUGAUACUAUAGUCGGAAACGUUUUCAUCAAAUGGGGAUUUUCCCCAGCAUUAUCACGAAAUUACGACCCCAAUAAGACGACCUCUGUACUUCAAGCGGGGAGAUAUUUGACCCGAAAUUUCUCCGGUGAUGUGUGCAUACAGCUA